CCCGGGUGACCCUCUCCAUGUGCUCCCGGGCCCUUGGCCGGCCAGCGGCCUGCGCUCGGUGGGGACUCAAGUGGGACCUCCCGAGCUCACGGUCACCUGAGUGGAGCCGCACCGAGUUACCUGCCGCACCGAUCUGUCAGCGGCCCGACCAGCAGCGAGCCCAGCAGGCCGCCCAGCGGGAACAUGGACACCGUGCAGGACCAGAGCAGCAGCAUGGCAGGCUCGUCCAGGGGUACUCCAUAGCGCUCCAGCCCCCGGCCAGAAGCUCCGAGGUUGCUGACACUGGUCCCAGAAGUGGAGCUUCACAACCCGAGGCAGGAUGUGGAUGAGACCUGGGCCUGGAUGCUCUUCUUGUGUAACUGCUCUGAAUCAGCUUCUUCAAUGCACUGCAGCUAAUUUUGGAGGAAGAGUAAAUAAAACAGAUAAAAUUGCCUUCAGUUGUGCUGUUGGGGCCACCUUCACGUCCCGAACCAACUCAGAACGUUUCUGUUUGGGGGAAGCCGGAAGUCGCACUGUGCCGGAUGGGGGAGGGCGCCUGGAUGUGCCAGGUGGGUGAGGGCCCAGAGUGACGUCUCUCCCAGACUGCUGGACAGCGGCAUUCACCACAUUUUUG